UCCCUGCCUACUUGAGGCCUUCUGAAGAAACGUGCCCCUGCUUGAACUCCUCCAUUUGCGUGGGCACUUGCUGGAGUUACCUAACUGGCAGUUUGCUGGGAUGCACGCUGCAUCUUGCUGUGCCUCGGGUUAAAGCCAUUCGUGCUGGAAAAUGGAGCCACAGGAAACCAAUCCAGGAUGGACCAGCUACGGCUGUUUUGGAGCUGGGGUGCUGCAAAAUGCAGUGGGACUAAGGAUGCAGCAGGACGAGCACUUCUGAUGGAAAAGGUACCCAACCUGAGCUGCAGAGCACCUCCAUCCUCAAGGAUUGCAGAGGAGGCAAAGCAUCUACUGCUUUCUGUGCUAACACAACCAAAGUCGCAUCCAUUUCUGUAGCUCUUUCCUUGCUAUCAGCUCUUGCAAAGUGCUUCCUGAAGCACGAAUUGCAUGAGAUUAAUGGGGUGAUUACAUGGGGGAAAUGCAGCAUCCUGAGGGCUGGGUGCAAGGCAUGGAUAAGAGCAGAUGCACAACAUCUCAGCCACCACUGCCCUGAUGAAAAGAGGGAUGGAUCCUGCCCUGCAAGUGAGAAUUUUGCCAUAAUUUAUCAUAAUGGCAGCAAAAUAAUGGCCCAUGGGGAUAAGCAGAGAGUUGUGCGCUGACUUGCAGUGGAUUUACCCCAGGGAGGACUUCUUGACUCUCAGAGCAAUUACUGUGGCAGGACUUGGCCAAGAACCAGGUGAUGCCAAGAAGACUGGGGCUGCAGGCACGUACAUGAACACGUCCUGAGGGGAUAACCUGAGGCUAGAAGAAAAUAAAUGAAGUCAUCCCAAAUGAUGGCUCAGCGAGAAUAUUCCUCCACCAGGAAGAGCAGCUGGGUCGUGAGAAAGGAAACAGGAUCACAGGGAAGAUGGGGGAAGUUGGGAGGGGAUGGGAACGUGGAAGAUGGGUGCUGCUGUCAUUGCCCAUUGCCACGUGUGGUUUGGAGUCUGGCGGAUUCUUGGCUCGCUCCCCUUGGAGGAAGGCUGGCUGCUUUGCAAAUGGCUUUUCAAGCUCCCAUGGGAAUUUCCAUCGCCCUCAGGACCGUAUGGAGCCACAAGGAAAAAGUCCUGUUGCUGAAUCUCGAGCAGCUUGGAUGUUGUUGAGAAAUGACAAGCACCAAAGAGUAAUCUAAUUUGUUGCAGUUAUUCAGCGCUUUCUCAGCAUUUGGCUCAGGAAGUGAAAAUUCAUUCUGGGAAGAGUGCAGGAGCCUGCAGGCGGCUCCUAUUGUCCCCAUAGAGCCACCAGGCACUGGGGUUGGCCCUACAGCAGGGCAGGGAACCUUGCACCUUCCAGAAACAGAAACCCAGAGCAAAGCCCUCACAUUCCCUGCUGCAAAUGGGAUUGUGCAGCAGCACUCCUGCAAUGUGGAUGGGAAGAGGGAAGACCAAUUUGAUGGCUUUUUUUUUUUUUUUUUUUUUUGCAAAAUGCUCUGGAAGGAGCUGAGGCACUGCAGACACCAGGAAGAAUGAUGUGUCUCUAUUUGCUUCUUCAUCUCUGCCAAAGAGUUCUGGGGGUUUUGGCCAAAGGAGAAGACCUGUCUCUUUCCCUGUCUCAUUGGAAGUGGCAACAGACACAUGGCCUGGUCUUGCCAUGCAGAGAAUGCCACCAGAAACCUCACUUCAUCAGUGCAAGUUGGCUAGAUAAUAUCAGAGGGAAAGGAGAGCUGAAAUGCCCCCAGUUGGCCUUUCUUACCCAGAUACAACCUAUGAUACAACAGGUGAUGGCAAGGAACCAUCCCUCCUGUAUGAGGAGAGCCUGUAUUGCUGCCUGCUGCCCAGGCCAGGGGGCCACUUGUGACCCACAACCUCAUCUUGUUGCUGAGGAAGGCCAUCAAUACCUUGUGAAGGCCAGCAGCAGUAUCCCAGACUUCAGACAAAUAAGCAACAUUCAGACAAAUCUGAGGUUUCCUUAGGAUCCAUCUGAGCAACCAUCAAAUGAUGGAGGAUGCCAGGGGUAAGAUGGGCUGUCUGCAUCCCAGUAGUGUUCAUGGGGCUCCCCUGGGCCAAAGGUGGAACUGCCUGCUUGACCACAAACCUGGUCUGACCACAGUGGUGUUGGAAGGGGACAAGACAUCAAGACUUAUGGGGCUGCAACGGCUGCAUUUUCUUUCCUCCCUCCCCCAUACUGGAGGAGUUGCCAUGUUGCAGGCUGCUCAGUCCUUUGGCUCUGCUCCAGGAAAAUCAUUAAGUACGAGCUUUAGGGAUUGCAGGCUGCUCACUUGCUUCCCCCAAACCAAGCCCGCCAGCUCGGUGUCAUCAGGACAAAGCC